GAGCGCCCCGCAAGGGGAGCGGCAGACGGGAGAGUAACACGUGGGAACGUACCCUUCAGUUCGGAACAACCCCAGGGAAACUUGGGCUAAUACCGAAUACGUCCGUAAGGAGAAAGAUUUAUCGCUGAAGGAUCGGCCCGCGUCUGAUUAGCUUGUUGGUGAGGUAACGGCUCACCAAGGCGACGAUCAGUAGCUGGUCUGAGAGGAUGAUCAGCCUCACUGGGACUGAGACACGGCCCAGACUCCUACGGGAGGCAGCAGUGGGGAAUAUUGGACAAUGGGCGCAAGCCUGAUCCAGCCAUGCCGCGUGGAUGAUGAAGGCCCUAGGGUUGUAAAGUCCUUUCGGCGGGGAAGAUAAUGACGGUACCCGCAGAAGAAGCCCCGGCUAACUUCGUG
rnacentral:rRNA from 1 species